GGCUAUAGCGCAGCUGGUAGCGCAUCUGCUUUGCAAGCAGAGGGUCGCCGGUUCGAACCCGGCUAGCUCCA
rnacentral:tRNA from 1 species